rnacentral:rRNA from 1 species
UGUUUUUUUGGAGGGGCAAGUCUGGUGCCAGCAGCCGCGGUAAUUCCAGCUCCAAUAGCGUAUAUUAAAGUUGUUGCAGUUAAAAAGCUCGUAGUUGAAUUUCGGGAUUGACACAUCGGUCGUGCCUUAAGGGGUAUGAACUGGUGUAGUCAAUUUCUCACCUUCUGGAGAACCGCGAUGCCCUUAAUUGGGUGUCACGGGGAACCAGGACCUUUACUUUGAAAAAAUUAGAGUGUUUAAAGCAGGCAUUUUGCUUGAAUACAUUAGCAUGGAAUAAUAAAAUAGGACGGCAUGAUUCUAUUUUGUUGGUUUCUAGGAUCACCGUAAUGAUUAAUAGGGAUAGUUGGGGGCAUUAGUAUUCAAUUGUCAGAGGUGAAAUUCUUGGAUUUAUUGAAGACUAACUACUGCGAAAGCAUUUGCCAAGGAUGUUUUCAUUAAUCAAGAACGAAAGUUAGGGGAUCGAAGACGAUCAGAUACCGUCGUAGUCUUAACCAUAAACUAUGCCGACUAGGAAUCAGACGAGUUACUUAG